AGUGAACGCUGGCGGUAGGCCUAACACAUGCAAGUCGAACGGCAGCACAGUAAGAGCUUGCUCUUACGGGUGGCGAGUGGCGGACGGGUGAGGAAUACAUCGGAAUCUACUUUUUCGUGGGGGAUAACGUAGGGAAACUUACGCUAAUACCGCAUACGACCUACGGGUGAAAGCAGGGGAUCUUCGGACCUUGCGCGAUUGAAUGAGCCGAUGGCGGAUUAGCUAGUUGGCGGGGUAAAGGCCCACCAAGGCGACGAUCCGUAGCUGGUCUGAGAGGAUGAUCAGCCACACUGGAACUGAGACACGGUCCAGACUCCUACGGGAGGCAGCAGUGGGGAAUAUUGGACAAUGGGCGCAAGCCUGAUCCAGCCAUACCGCGUGGGUGAAGAAGGCCUUCGGGUUGUAAAGCCCUUUUGUUGGGAAAGAAAAGCAGCAGGUUAAUACCCCGCUGUUCUGACGGUACCAAAAGAAUAAGCACCGGCUAACUUCGUG
rnacentral:rRNA from 1 species